rnacentral:rRNA from 1 species
UUUCGUUAUGUUGGUGUAUGUCUGGUUUAAUAUUAUUGCUGAAUGGCAGAAGUUGUGUAGUGUUAUUUAAGCCAAGUCUAUGUGCUGUUUAUAAAAGUAUUCAUGCGUUACAUUAAUAAGUAUUUAAUUGUAAUAUUAGAUGAUUUAGGACUUAAAAGUAAUGUUUAAUUAAUUAGUAAAUGUGAAAUAAGUUUAGCUCAGGUACACACCGCCCGUCACCCUCGGUU